rnacentral:misc_RNA from 1 species
AAAAAAAAAAAAAUUAGCUAGCUCGUUGCAGUUGUUGCAAGUGAAGUGCGUGCCAGUAACGGCAGAAACAACAACAAAAACAACAAAGCAAAAAAAAUUAUUUGUUUAUUUAUUGAGGCGGGCGCGCAGGGCAUUGUGUCAAUGCAAAAUUGACGAUUAUAUAAAAGUGCGCGGCAUUCAAUUCUAAUUACAAACAAACGGCAAAUAAAGUGCAAUUUGACUGUGUGUGCAUGUCUGUGCAUGUUUGUGCGCGUUGGUGUGGGAAAUGGCAAAGUGUGUUUGGUUUUUUAGGCCAAGUGUUUGUUAGGCCGGAAAUAAAUAAAAGGCAGCGACAGCUCUGCCCACACGUAAAGAGCCAACAGCUAAAAGCCAACAGCAAGCGACAAGCGGCAAAAGGCUUUUUCUCGAUCGCACGUGCAAAAUGGCGGCCGGCCGGCAAAGUUACUAAAGCAACAACAAUGCCAAGCAGGAGCUUAAACCGAAACUCUCCAAUUACACACACACAUACGUAUAGACGAUCGUGGCGCCAACUGGCGGCAGUUUUAUGCACUCGAUCACAUUCUUAAUAUGUUGCCUUCAAAACAAUUCAAACAACAAUAGUUAACGCAACGUUUCUAAAACAUUUCUCAAAUAAUUAAACUAAGCAAAAGUAAAUUAAAGGAAAAAAAAAAAAAUUAAACUUAAACUUUGUUAACCAAAAGUGGCCUGCAAAACGAAGCAACAACCCAGAAAUGUGAUUCCAAGUGCGAAAUGUAACAAAAAACGUAAACAAUUUUGUUUUGGAUAAACAAAAUAGUAAAGAAAGAAGUAAAUAAAAUUAAAAUAAUAAUUACGAAAAUCAAUAACAACAACAACAACAACAACAACAACAACAAAUGGAACUCGCGCGAGCAGCCAUUGUCAAUGAUUAAUACGGAGAGUUAGAUUCAUAGCUCACCACGUCGCCGUCGCCGGACUCGCCGUCGUCUUAGUUAGCAUUAGACGUAGCCACACACACACACACACACCUCAACACACACGCAUACACCCACACACCCUUUUCAAUGCAGCAGCAGCAGCAACAGUCGCAUCAACAGUUUUUAGAACGUUAGCCGAAGCACACACAGAGUUCCAGAGCAGCCAGAGCUAGAGAGCGAGCAGCGUACACAUAGCCAGAGGAAAAGAGAUAGACAGCAGGACAGUGAGCGAAAGCGAUUUAGCCAACAUGGACAUCAAGAUUGAGCAGCAGCAGCAGCAGCAGCAGCAGCAACAACAACAACAACAGCAACAGCAGCAGCAGCAGCAAACGGAGCUGGGGCCCGUUUCGCCUUCGGAGGUGCCAAAUGAUCCUGGAAAAAUGUUCAUUGGCGGCCUCAGCUGGCAGACCAGUCCAGAGAGCUUACGCGAUUAUUUUGGACGCUAUGGCGAUAUCUCUGAGGCAAUGGUCAUGAAGGAUCCCACGACACGCAGAUCCAGGGGCUUUGGCUUUGUCACAUUCAGCGAUCCAAAUAGCGUAGAUAAGGUACUCACCCAAGGCACACACGAGCUGGAUGGCAAAAAGGUGGACCCGAAAGUAGCUUUUCCGCGACGUGCACAUCCCAAGAUGGUGACGAGAACGAAGAAAAUCUUUGUGGGCGGCCUCUCGGCGCCCACCACGCUAGAGGAUGUCAAAAGCUACUUUGAACAGUUUGGUCCGAUCGAGGACGCAAUGCUGAUGUUUGACAAGCAGACCAAUCGGCACAGAGGUUUUGGCUUCGUUACAUUUCAAAGCGAAGAUGUGGUAGACAAAGUUUGUGAAAUUCAUUUCCAUGAGAUAAACAACAAAAUGGUCGAGUGCAAGAAGGCGCAGCCCAAGGAGGUAAUGCUGCCGGCAAAUCUGGCCAAGACACGGGCGGCCGGUCGUUCCGCUUACGAUAACAUCAUGUGGGGUCUGGGGACAUUGCCCGAAGGCUUUCCGGCAGCUGCGUAUGCUGCUUAUGCCGCUGGUCGCGGCUAUUCGGGUUAUCCCAGCUUCGGACUACCCUAUCCAACUGCUGGCGUUAUGGGCGUAAUGCCGGAGAAUCGUAUACUGAUCGGUGAUUAUUUGGUCGCCCCAACGACAGCCAGCAGCACGGCCUAGAAGCAACUCUGACUCUAUGAUCUAAACUGAUAUUUUUUCGAUCGAGUAUUAUAUCAAAAUCUGAACUAAUAAAUCUCAAACCAUCUUAUAACUAUAAAAAUUGAUCUAACCAAUGGGCAGCUGACCCCCAACAAUAAUACACCA